GUUAACUGUUUAUAUGGGCAUAAUCACACAAAAUCACAAUUAAUUGAAUUUGGCAGCUAUGCUAUUUUGGAGGGUAUCUAAAUCACUCUGCGAUUUUGAGUUGCUGAAUCACAGAGGCAACUUAUAUUCAUUAACAUGAAAUACGAAAUUAUUUGGAGGUGCAAAUAGGCCUUUGUUCAUAUGGGCAAAAUCAAUGCCUCUUAAAUAUUUAUUUACAGAAAGUGUAUAAGCAAAUAAAUUGAAGAUUCUUCAAACGAUAGUAUGCAUAUUAAAGUAAUGCAUACACCUCGCCUUUUGUAAUGCUGAAUGGGAAAAAGUCAUGUAAUGGACAAUAAUUAUUGUCAUUGUAAGGAAGUCAACAGUUUGUGCUGUAAGCAAUUGUUUGAAUACAAAAUUGUUGACAAUUCAAUGGUAUAUAUUUUAUUUUUUUGAAACUUCAAUUGUAUACAUGUUGACUAAGUGGCUGAGUUUUAUCUGAUUUCUUGUCACCGUAAGAAAGAAGACAAGGUCACAAACUUGAUAUUGCCAAGCAAAGAGGGAAAAAGGUGUGGUUUGUUGGUCAAUGAUAGAAAGGAGGGAAAAGGAAAACUAUGUAGUAAAAGAAUAAGAAGAUGAAGAAGAAAAAGAGAGAAACAAUGCAAUAGCAUUACAACGGCGCUGGCAGGAUAACUAGACAUUCAAUUUGUGCAUUCGAAUUGGCCUUCUUUGCUUACGUGCAAUGUUCCUUCUCUUAUCAAUAUGUUAUCUCCUACUCUUCCUCAAGUCCCAUAAUGGCAGUCUGGAAAAGAAAUGAACAUACUAGACCAACAUGGCCUCAGCUGCAGUUAACCAUCUGAUUGAUAUAAUAACGUCUGCUCUUCAGAAUGAAGCAUCAUUUUUGGGAAGCAUCCAUGAUGAAUUAAACAAUCUCAGGAGUGAACUACAAAGCAUGAAAUCUUUUUUAGAGGAUGCUGAGAGAAAGCAACUGAACUCUGAAGGAGAGAAGACAUGGGUGGCAAAUGUGAGGGACACAGCUUACCAAGUUGAAGACAUCAUUGAUGAAUUCGUGUAUUACAUACAUCAGCAACGCUGUGGCGGCCGUUUCUCUCGGUUCCUUCAUCAAAUGAUUCGAACUCCUAAAAAACUUUGGGUGAUGCAUAGAAUUGGCAACAAGUUGCAGAAGAUCAAUAACAUCAUCAAAGUCAUUCCAGAGUGGAGGCAGAGAUAUAUUGUUAAUAAUGUUGAAGGCGUGAAUUCCAAAGAUCUUGCUCAGAAAUGGGCAUCAUACCACAGGGAUUCAUCACUUUUCAUCAAAGAAGAUGAUAUUGUAGGGAUCAAAGAUGAAAGUCGAUUGUUGGAGGAAUCACUAAUGGAUGGAGAAUUGCAGCAAACUCUUAUUUCAGUGGUUGGAAUGGGGGGAUCGGGAAAGACAACACUGGUUGCCAAGAUGUAUAAUAAUGAAACAGUGAAGUCCCAUUUUGACUGCUACGCGUGGAUUACCAUUUCUCAAACAUAUAUAAGAGAUGAAUUAUUUAGAAGCUUGAUCAAAGAGUUCCACCAGUCGAGGAAGGAACAGCAGCCUCCUGACUUGAGUAGCAAAGACUAUGUAGAGCUUGUAAAUAUUCUUAGAAGCUACUUAUAUUUGAAGAAAUACCUAGUUGUCUUGGAUGAU
rnacentral:misc_RNA from 1 species